ensembl:lncRNA
GUCACAGCAAAGGUGACGUAGAUGAGGCCAUUCUUGUAAAUAGACACUGCAGCCUGACGCAAUUCCAGGAGAGUUCUCUGACCACUAGUUUUCUGUGGAAAAUGACUAAGCCAGCAGACGCCUGCUUGGCUGCCGUCAUGGGUUCUUAAGGAAAGUCAGUGGUAUCUAGUCCCUCUCCAGGAGCUGCUGCCCCUCCUUGGGGGCUCCUGGCAGUCCCAGGCUCUCCCCGGCUUCUCAACCCCAUCCCUCCCUCAGGGGCUGCAGGCCAGUCACAGGCUCCCUCUCCCCCUCUCCGGGGCUCCUGGCUGGUGCCUCCAGCACAGACCCUGCCUGGCUCCCUUCUGGUGACUGGCCUCUCCCCCAGGGUCUAUCCUGCCUUGGCUCUGCCUCUGAUUUUGCUCUAGAUCAGAGCAGCAAGAGCAGCCCCCCUUUCUUGGGGUUCAGGGUUGGCACAUUGUCAGCCCCUCGCAGUAAAUGGUGACAGGGCCAAGGUCUUGUUUUAAGUUGAGGCCCAGAGCAGGGCCCCAGCCUUGUCUUCUGGCUGGCCAGGGCCCUUUGGGGUAUGCCUUGGGGGUACCCGAGGCCCCAGGCUGAGAGCUGGAAGGGAGCCUGCUCAGAGGCUGUGCCCAACAACCCCUCACCCUUCAUGUUGCAAAUGAGGAAACAGAGGCCCUUGGAGAGGGGCAGUGACCUGACCUUGGACUCCACCCUGGGUCUGUCCCCUGUUUCCCUCUCUGUGUCUCCCCAGAGGCCACAAGGAGGCAGCCUGUUGCCAUUACUCUUUGGUUUUAAGGGGCUGCAUGGGACAUAGUGGGAGGCAGCUGGAACCUGGUGCUGGGCUUUCCCAUUCCAGUGGGUUCUGACCUGCAGCUGGAUCCCUCCAUUAAUGCCUUGGGCAGCUCCCACGUGGCUCAUUGCUGCCCUCCAGAGGUCAACUGGUUUUUUAAAAAUAAAUUAUUUUCAAUGAAUAAAAAUCUGUCUCCUCUCCUUCCCAUGUCUCCCUAGCCUGAGGAUUCAAAAUCUGUAUAAUGACUAUCUAAAGUCAAACUAAACGGACUUCCACACUCACCCUCUCCAGGAUGCAUCUCCUUUUUCCUCCUGGGUCCAUCAUCCUUCCAUGGUGUGUGUAUGGGGGGGGAGUAGGUACGCUGGACCUCUGUCCUGGAAUGGUGGUCGUUGGCAAUCACAUUGAGGGGAGGAUGUCAAGUCUUUCCAGUCUGUUUGCUUUUAGUAAAAAUGGCUCUCCUGGUCCUGCUCAGCUUCCUCUGGGAUAGUUCCCACACAUCUCCCCAGAUUUCUCUGUAUCUCCCCCUUUCUCAUUUCUACAUUUCUUCCUUUCAUCCCAGUGGUCACUUGAACCCCCAUUGCUGCUCAACUCAUCCCACUGCCAUCCGGACCCAUCUUAUCACCAUCAGGAUCCAUCCCACUGUCAUCAGGACCCAUCCCACUGCCAUCAGGACCCAUCCUAUCACCAUCAGGACCCAUCCUAUCGCUAUCAGGACCCAUUCUAUCGCCAUCAGGACCCAUCCCACUGCCAUCAUCUCCCAUCCUACGUGGCUCCUACAAGGUCAGGAGAGUGGUUGCCCAGAGAGAAGCCAUAUAAUCUUAGUCUGGAGUUACCCUGUGUCUUCCCCCCUCUUAAAAUUUCAAAGCUCUUCACAGAACCAGGUUUCCAGCCCCAGGGCUUCACUUAUACCUUCCUUUGGGGACCCCAACUCUACCCCUCCAUAAAAUUCCCUUCCAUAAAACGAAAGAGUUGGGUGUGCUUUCUAGGCCUCAUUUGUAAGGUCCUUCCUGGCUUUGAUAUUCUCUGUCUAUCAUGAUAGUAAUGUUCCUAAUGCCUUAGGAAGUACACUUUGGUUUGGGGGUUUUUAUAAUCUACAUGUAUGUUAACUUUUUAAAAAAUACACAUUUCUUUAUGAAUCAUGUUGAGAGAGAAAAAUCAGAAAGGAAAAAAACUACAAGAAAAAAAUUGGGACAUAGCACGCGUUGAUUUACAUUCAAUUUCCAAUAUGCAGAUGGCAUAUUCUAUCCAAAGUUUAUUGAAAUUGCCUUGGAUCACUGAACUGUUGAGAAGAACCAAGACUUUCCAAGUUGAUCAUUGUGGAAAUACACUUUGACAAAAAGUAUGUUUGCUUUAAAAUAGAUUUUUUUAGGUCAAUUGUAUAAAGUGAAAGUAGAAUACAGAAACAAUUCAUUCUUGCCCCCAGUAUUAUCAAAUUGGUCACUGAAUAUUUCUAUAGAUUGCUUUAAUGUCCUGGGCCAUAUUUUUACUGAACAUUUUCACAUCAGUUUUUCCUUUAUUGGGAUUGAGCUCCACAAUUUUCUUUCUAGGCUCUAUCAUUCCACAUAUUGAAUAUUGGGAUAAAAUUAUCUCCAUUUAGGAAUAUAUCUUUUAUUCAUAUUCCCUUCCCUGGUGACUAUUUUUAUUGCAUGUCUAUUAAGAAAGCUCUUAAUAUUUCUCCAUUUUACACAUAAUUAUGAGUUAUUUAUGCCCAAGCAUUCACUGUUUUCAUAGGUAUGGCAUAAGUAUGCUCUUUAAUAUAACCAUUCAAUAAUUACCAGAAUCAUAUCAAAACUAUCUUUUUUUCACUGUUAUAUUCUAUAUUUCAAUGUUAUAUGAUUUCUAUCUUUCUUUUUAAACUUAGAAAGUCCUGAGAAUUUUGAAAUCAUUUUCUUCCUAUCAAAAUAUCAUUAUAUUUUAGGGUUUUCCCAAAGAACUAAAAUGCUACACCAUUCUAUGCACAUAGAUUUAUAUUUACUAUGUUGUUUCAUUUUUCUAAUCCCCUUUAAUUUACUUUUAAAAAUUAUCUCUGUGGCUUGUUCUUUAAUUCUGUCUCUGAAUCUAUUUAAAGCAUAAUGUGUUUUCCUUUUGUUUCUCUUGAGAGCAUCUAUUUUGAUCUAUUUAGUCUUACUUGAAAUCAUGGUUUUAACUCCUGCACUUUUGAUUCAAUCAAAACAUAAUAAAUUUAUUGCAGCCCUUCAAUUUAACUCUAUAUGUUUAUGUUUCAAAUAAGUUUCUUCUAUGCAGAAAAUUAUGGGGUUCUGUCUCAUCAUCUAGCCUCUCUUCCAUUUUGUGGUUGAGUUUAGUCCAUUUAAAGUUAUAAUUGGUAAGUUGUUUUCCUCUUCCUCAAAUUCUGUUACAUUCAUUUUUUUAAAAGCAGCACUGCAGUUUGGUUUAUUUGAAAGAAAUGGAUCCUAUUCUUCCCCUAUAACUACCCACUUCCUUAUACCCCCCCACCUCCACUUGGCCCAAGUUCAGAUUCUUUAAUGCAAUUUUUCAUGAGAUGAGAGGUCACGGAUUUUGAGCUGGGCAUCUCAAACUCAACAUGUCCAAAACAGGCAAAAUAUGUCCAAAAUUUUAUCUUUUGUGACUUUGACUUCAUUGGUGCUACCCCUGAAUUAUCUUCCUCAAAAAAAAGAAAUUAAAAAAAAAAUUCUUCUCCUCCUCACCACUGUCAUCCCAGUGAUAAAGGUCAACAACUUUGGUGUCAUCCUUAACUCUUCAAGACCCUCCACCCCCAUAGCGAUUCUCUUGUCAGGACUUCUGCUUCGGCUUCCACAAUGUCCCAUGCCCAUCACUUUCUCUCCACACCUAGAAUCACCAUCCCUGUUUAGCCCCCAUCACCUCCUACCUGGACUAUUGCAAUGUCUGCCUCUAAUGUCCUCCUCCUUCAAUCUAGGAUCCAUUCAAUCGUCUUUAGUUUCUUAUACAUUUAUACAGAAUUAUUGUAUACAUGACUCCCUUCACACAAUCCAGUCUAACUGGCUUUUCUGUAGAUCCUCACCCAAUAAUUCAUCUCCCACUCUGGGCCAUCCCUCCUGACCUCUGCUUCUUAAAAUCUCGUUUCUUUCUGAUCCCUGCUCAAAUACUCCAUGUGAAACUUUCUGGGGGCCCUGAAUUUUUGGUAUCCCCCCAAUUCCAUGACCUCGUAUUUACUGACCCUGUAUUUCUUGAUGAUCAGAGAAGAGAUACUGAAAAGGAUUUUCUCCCAAAGCAUCAUGGCCUGCACACAAAUGGGACCUUGGAAAGCUGAAAGCUUGACUGAUCUGAUUGUUGAGAGGUGAGCACCCAUGAAGUCGGCUGGAACUCCAGUGUGCUCAUCAUUUCCAUAGGGGGAUGACAAAGCACCAGCCUCAUCACAACUCCACAGCUAACCCCACAAGGGAGAAGGUGGCAGGAGGGUGACAAGCCUCAUUUUACUGAGAAGGAAAGGGAGCCUUAGAGCAGUCUGGGAUGUGCUCAAGAUCAAGUUGAUAUUGAUUUCCCUGGAAAAGUUGAUUUAAAAAAAAAAAGCCUGCAUCAAAGCAUAGGAGACAGUCCCACACUGGUCAGGCUGCCCUAAUGAUGGAGGGGCUAUUUUGAUGCCAGACAGGAGGACCUUGAGCCUGUCUUCUCCUCUGGUCACCAUGGGCCUAACCUGAAGAUGCCAGAAUGGGGCCUCCCAGGAUGAUGCAGACUCUCCUGGAGCCCAGAGGCCACCCUUCUCUAGACAAGAUGGGGCUGGGUGCUUACAAAUCACAGCAGAUAAUUCACAAAGGAGAAGACCCGUUCUCUGACACUGAAGAUGUGAGUGUCCCUUCUUAAAUGGAAGUGUGGUAGCAGGCGGAGGAUGGUGAAGGAGCUCGUGACCUCUGUGGAGAUUUCCUUUUCUAGGGGCCAGGAGCUAGAAUUUGGCUUCUGGUUCAGCUGGGCAUUGUGGCUUCCUUCAAAUGGACAUCUGUGAGACUGGGACUCUUCGGGAAGGGGGAAGAAAGCCAGUUCCCCCAAGUAAGGUUUUACUCCAUGAGAUGCAAGGAUGAUGCCUUUCGGAUGAGUCGUUCAGUCAAAGGAGAGCCGGGCUUCAGGGCAUCCCGCUCAAUGAGGAGGCUCCUGGGGAAACAAUGGGAGCAUCAUUUAUACCCCCUAUCCAAGAGAUCCUCCUGCUCUUUGUAUAGCCUGGUUCCUAUGGCCGGAGAUAACAAUCCUAGACAGAGUGGCCUGCACAAGACUCACUGGAUCCCCGGAACGUCAGGUGGUCCCCCAUGUGGAUUUGCCACUUCUGGGUCCACCCCUUCUCUUCUACUAGACCUUGGACUCAUGGGAAGAAUCACUUGGCAUCCUUCCCCAACACCCAUCUAAGGGGGUGCUUAAUAGUGGGCCAGGGAAUAAAAAGUGAUCUCCCAGUGCAUACUUGCUGGCUGCGAGGAGAGGAGAUGGAUGACUCUGUCCUGUCCUCUACUCAGGUGGAGGGAGGUCUGGAGUCUCUCCUGUUCCUGCCCACCUCUAGAGUCUGUGUUCAUACCAUGUUACUGCCCUUCUCUGAUGCCUGUCCAAAUCCCAGAGGCCCUGGAUUCAGAUCUUGUCUUUGCUACUUCCUACUCACAUCACCUCGAGCCAAUCACCCCCCUCUCUCCAAGGCCUCAGUGAGGUCCUAGGCAGUGGGAAGAAAAGACCAUGAGACUGCGCAUUGGAGGCCUGGUUUCACCAGCCCGUUACUGUGCCACCUUGGCACCCCAUCCACUCUGGUCCCCCGAUCCCAGGCAGUCCGCAGCCUGAAACGCAUCCUCACCAGGAUCAUAGUCACCUCCGGGAAGUCCACUGACCCAUCUGCUACUGACUAAGCAGGAUCCAAGCACGUGGGCCUGCAGGCCUAGUCUGUGCUUGCAACACUCAGCUAGUAUUCGGAAUACAUUGGAACUGUUUCCAACUGGUGCUGAAGAUCUGACACCUAAAGUCUGCCAGGGACACCAGGGACACCAGGGAUACCAAGCACCUCUUUAGGAAAUUCUAGGAGUCCCUGCUAUAAGUAGUUUCUGUCACUUGGUCCUCCAAGGCCAAAGCCUCCAAGGGUUAAGAGAGGGAUUUUCUUCUAAUGCCUCUCAUGGAACAUCUGGUCCAUGGUGGUUGCUUUGGCCCGGGCCAGGGACGGCAAUGCGAUGCACGUUUUACAAAUACUUCUGUUUGGGGUUUGAAACCCCCCCAAAAUGCCAAUAGCAAGGGCCAAUGAGGCCUUCAUGACCAGGUGAGUUCCCAUCAAAGGCCCAGCUAUCCAAGGGUACUCUAAUAAAUUCAUUGCCCUGGAGGCGUGCGCACAAUCCCCUCAACUACUACAGGCAUCACUGCUCCCAAUCACUGUAAUUUGGCAUCUGCAAAGUCACACGGCUUUUCUCGUCUCCCUGUUAUAUCUGUAGACAUAAAAAAGGGGGAAUAUGUUUGCUUGGUGUCUCUCCAUUUCCAGUUUUUAUAAACAAUUACACCACGUCGAAUCUGGCUUCUGGGUCACUGGGCCUCCCAAGAGCACGGAGGUGCUUCCCCUGUGGCAGAUCUCGCCUCUCCAUCCACCAUUCCGUCUUUGCCGGAUCAGAUGGCCGCCAGCCCCCAACUGCUGCCGACACUCAGUUGGUCCUGGUUCCCCAGCUUUGGUCCUUGAGGGGAGGGAUAAGGGUGGACAGAUCGAUCCCCUCCCGAGAGAAUUCUGAACUUGGGCCAGUGGCACUUCCUCUGUUUGCCAUCAGGUGGAGCUUUGCGGCUUCAUGACUCCUUUUCGCAUCCAGAAGGGGUUUCCGUCUGCUCCAACAAUGGACUCUAUAAUGUUUCAUGGACUGGUCUCCCAGGGCUAAGCACUGACUCCAGUCACAGAGAGACUCCGGUCACAGAGAGAGAACCUUGCUGACACACGAGAAGCGGCUGAGCCUUUCCGGAAGGGUGACAUCCUUACCAGCAUAUCUGUGACCUGGUGGAAACAGGCUCAUCCUUAACCUGAACAGGGAGGACCCAAGCUCAGGCUCAGCCUCUGACGGCUGCCCCGUGUUUGUGUGUCUGUCAGUCCUCAGACGUAAUUUUAUCACAUGCCUCUACCCGCAUGUGUCAGGGAGGGGGCUUCCAAACGAACCUCCCCGUCAGAAUUUUUUCUGGUCACUCGUCAUGACGGUGUGACUUGGCCAAAGCCCAUCGUGGGCGCGCUCCCCUGCACCUUAAAACUGAGGCCAUCGGGGCAAGCAGUCUAAACAAACAUGGCUGAGUAAUCAAUGGAAUAUCAAGGAAUGGAAAAUAAUGGAAUAUUCUUGUUCUAUAAGAAUAUUGAGCAAGCUGAUUCCAGAAAAGCCUAGAAAGACCGACAUGAACUCAUGGAGAGGGAAAUUGAAGAGAACCUGGAAAACACUGUAUACAGUAACAAGAUUGUGUGAAGAUCAACUGGGACGGAUGUGGCUCUUCUCAGCAAUGCAGUGAUUCAAGGCAAUUGCAAUAGACUCGGGAUGGAAAAUAGCACCUGCAUCCAGAGAGAGAACUAGGAAGACUGAAUGUGGAUCACAGCAGAGGACUCUUGUAGUUUUUCCUUUUGAUUUGAUUUUUUCUUGUACCACACGACAAAUGUGCUCUAUA